GUCCAGACUCCUACGGGAGGCAGCAGUGGGGAAUAUUGCACAAUGGGGGAAACCCUGAUGCAGCGACGCCGCGUGAGCGAUGAAGUAUUUCGGUAUGUAAAGCUCUAUCAGCAGGGAAGAAAAUGACGGUACCUGACCAAGAAGCCCCGGCUAACUACGUGCCAGCAGCCGCGGUAAUACGUAGGGGGCAAGCGUUAUCCGGAUUUACUGGGUGUAAAGGGAGCGUAGACGGCUGUGCAAGCCAGAUGUGAAAGCCCGGGGCUCAACCCCGGGACUGCAUUUGGAACUGUGUGGCUGGAGUGUCGGAGAGGCAGGCGGAAUUCCUAGUGUAGCGGUGAAAUGCGUAGAUAUUAGGAGGAACACCAGUGGCGAAGGCGGCCUGCUGGACGAUGACUGACGUUGAGGCUCGAAAGCGUGGGGAGCAAACAGGAUUAGAUACCCCAGUAC
rnacentral:rRNA from 1 species